rnacentral:misc_RNA from 1 species
ACUGAUCCCGUGCAGGUUGCUGGUAUUCAUGCACCGGUCUCUCGAGAGAGCGAUCUCUUUUCAACCGCCUUUUUCUUUCUUCUCGCUCCCGCCGUGCUAUGCUUACAGCAGUCUCUAUAUGUUCCUCUGGAGCACUAUACACCUCUUCAUGCCUCUCAAACGUCUCUUCAUCCUCUUCAGGCACCGGCGAGGCAUUUAAGUCCAUGGAAACAAUCAUUCAACGUCCACCAAGCAACAUUUACUCCAAACCUCAAAAUUCCUCAAACACAGGAAAGUCCUGAAGUUCACUAGUAACCCAAUAUUUG